rnacentral:rRNA from 1 species
GGGNNUGCGGCAGCUACACAUGCAAGUCGAGCGGAUGAAAGGAGCUUGCUCCUGGAUUCAGCGGCGGACGGGUGAGUAAUGCCUAGGAAUCUGCCUGGUAGUGGGGGACAACGUUUCGAAAGGAACGCUAAUACCGCAUACGUCCUACGGGAGAAAGCAGGGGACCUUCGGGCCUUGCGCUAUCAGAUGAGCCUAGGUCGGAUUAGCUAGUUGGUGAGGUAAUGGCUCACCAAGGCGACGAUCCGUAACUGGUCUGAGAGGAUGAUCAGUCACACUGGAACUGAGACACGGUCCAGACUCCUACGGGAGGCAGCAGUGGGGAAUAUUGGACAAUGGGCGAAAGCCUGAUCCAGCCAUGCCGCGUGUGUGAAGAAGGUCUUCGGAUUGUAAAGCACUUUAAGUUGGGAGGAAGGGUUGUAGAUUAAUACUCUGCAAUUUUGACGUUACCGACAGAAUAAGCACCGGCUAACUCUGUGCCAGCAGCCGCGGUAAUACAGAGGGUGCAAGCGUUAAUCGGAAUUACUGGGCGUAAAGCGCGCGUAGGUGGUUUGUUAAGUUGGAUGUGAAAUCCCCGGGCUCAACCUGGGAACUGCAUCCAAAACUGGCAAGCUAGAGUAUGGUAGAGGGUGGUGGAAUUUCCUGUGUAGCGGUGAAAUGCGUAGAUAUAGGAAGGAACACCAGUGGCGAAGGCGACCACCUGGACUGAUACUGACACUGAGGUGCGAAAGCGUGGGGAGCAAACAGGAUUAGAUACCCUGGUAGUCCACGCCGUAAACGAUGUCAACUAGCCGUUGGGAGCCUUGAGCUCUUAGUGGCGCAGCUAACGCAUUAAGUUGACCGCCUGGGGAGUACGGCCGCAAGGUUAAACUCAAAUGAAUCGACGGGGCCCGCACAGCGGUGGAGCAUGUGCUUUAAUUCGAAGCAACGCGAGACCUUACAGACCUGACAUC